AUUGAACGCUGGCGGCAGGCUUAACACAUGCAAGUCGAGCGGGGGAAGGUAGCUUGCUACUGGACCUAGCGGCGGACGGGUGAGUAAUGCUUAGGAAUCUGCCUAUUAGUGGGGGACAACAUCUCGAAAGGGAUGCUAAUACCGCAUACGUCCUACGGGAGAAAGCAGGGGAUCUUCGGACCUUGCGCUAAUAGAUGAGCCUAAGUCGGAUUAGCUAGUUGGUGGGGUAAAGGCCUACCAAGGCGACGAUCUGUAGCGGGUCUGAGAGGAUGAUCCGCCACACUGGGACUGAGACACGGCCCAGACUCCUACGGGAGGCAGCAGUGGGGAAUAUUGGACAAUGGGGGGAAUCCUGAUCCAGCCAUGCCGCGUGUGUGAAGAAGGCCUUAUGGUUGUAAAGCACUUUAAGCGAGGAGGAGGCUACUGAGACUAAUACUCUUGGAUAGUGGACGUUACUCGCAGAAUAAGCACCGGCUAACUCUGUGCCAGCCGCCGCCGUAA
rnacentral:rRNA from 1 species